rnacentral:rRNA from 1 species
UGGGGAAUAUUGGACAAUGGGCGAAAGCCUGAUCCAGCAAUGCCGCGUGGGUGAUGAAGGCCUUCGGGUUGUAAAGCCCUUUCGGCGGGGAAGAUGAUGACGGUACCCGCAGAAGAAGCCCCGGCUAACUCCGUGCCAGCAGCCGCGGUAAUACGGAGGGGGCUAGCGUUGUUCGGAAUUACUGGGCGUAAAGGGCGCGUAGGCGGCCGAAGAAGUCAGGCGUGAAAGCCCUGGGCUCAACCUGGGAAUAGCGUUUGAAACUGAUUGGCUGGAGUCCGGGAGAGGGUAGUGGAAUUCUCAGUGUAGAGGUGAAAUUCGUAGAUAUUGGGAAGAACACCGGUGGCGAAGGCGGCUACCUGGCCCGGAACUGACGCUGAGGCGCGAAAGCGUGGGGAGCAAACAGGAUUAGAUACCCCCGUAGUCC